rnacentral:rRNA from 1 species
AGUGAACGCUGGCGGUAGGCCUAACACAUGCAAGUCGAACGGCAGCACAGUAAGAGCUUGCUCUUACGGGUGGCGAGUGGCGGACGGGUGCGGAAUACAUCGGAAUCUACUUUUUCGUGGGGGAUAACGUAGGGAAACUUACGCUAAUACCGCAUACGACCUACGGGUGAAAUCAGGGGAUCUUCGGACCUUGCGCGAUUGAAUGAGCCGAUGUCGGAUUAGCUAGUUGGCGGGGUAAAGGCCCACCAAGGCGACGAUCCGUAGCUGGUCUGAGAGGAUGAUCAGCCACACUGGAACUGAGACACGGUCCAGACUCCUACGGGAGGCAGCAGUGGGGAAUAUUGGACAAUGGGCGCAAGCCUGAUCCAGCCAUACCGCGUGGGUGAAGAAGGCCUUCGGGUUGUAAAGCCCUUUUGUUGGGAAAGAAAAGCAGCAGGUUAAUACCCCGCUGUUCUGACGGUACCCAAAGAAUAAGCACCGGCUAACUUCGUG